rnacentral:rRNA from 1 species
UUGGCUAGAUUUGUUUUAGCCCGGGUGAUAAAGUUUGGGUAUGAUCAUGUUGGCUUCGGUCGGUGUGGUUCUCUGCCCAAGCGUAUUACCAUGAGCAAAUCAAAAUGCUCAAAGUAGGCCUUCUUGCCUGAAUGUGUUAGCAUGGAAUAAUGAAAUAGGACCCUAGUCUUGUUUUGUUGGUAUACUUGACCUUGGGAAAUGAUGAAUAGGAACGGUUGGGGCCAUUUGUAUUUGGUCGCUCGAGGUGAAAUUCUUGGAUUGACCGAAGACAAACAACUGCGAAAGCAUUUGACCUAGGACGUUUCCAUUGAUCCAGGGACUAAAGUUGAGGGAUCGAAGACGAUUAGAUACCGUCAUAGUCUUAACCACAAACUAUGCCGACUAGCGAUUGGAUCCUCUCCACUGGCAGGAUUCAGCAGCUUAGCGAAAGUAAAGUUUUUGGGUUCUGGGGGGAGUAUGGGACGCAAGGCUGAAACUUAAAGGAAUUGACGGAAGGGCACCUCCAGGAGUGGAGCGUGCGGCUUAAUUUGACUCAACACGGGGAAACUCACCAGGUCCAGACAUAAUAAGGAUUGACAGAUUGAAAGCUCUUUCUAGAUUUUAUGGGUGGUGGUGCAUGGCCGUUCUUAGUUCGUGGAGUGAUUUGUCUGGUUAAUUCCGAUAACGAACGAGACCUUAUUCUGCUAAUUAGCUGGGCCAACUUUUUAGUUGGUAGUUUCUAGAUUUCGGUCUAGCCAGCUUCUUAGAGAGACUACGGA